ensembl:lncRNA
GUCCGUGACUGAAACCUCCCCGCCCCCGCCGCCUCCUCCCCCCGCGCCGGGGGAACCUCGCACACAUGUGACCCGGGAAACCAUGACAACCUCCCGCCGGGGACUGCGGCCCGCAGCGCGCCCCCCCACCCCGCACUGCCGGGAGGAGCGGGCGGGCGGCGGGAUGCGGCGCUCCUCUCAGGCUCCGGCCCCGCCGAGGGGGUUCCGCCGUCCCUGCGGUAUUUCACCGCUCAUUGCCGUUGUGCUUUUUUUUGUGGGCCACGGACGACCAUAAAGAGAUCCCCGCAUCGCUCGUAUGCGUAGAUACGCCAUACGUUCAUAGUCACAUAACGUAGGAAGCGCAGUGUCAGAAAACGCCUCCGGUCAUCUGGCUGCCUCGAGGUCCACGAUCACCACAUCUAGAGAAAGAAACAAUUGGAAAAGACAAAAGUUCCCUUUCAGCGCUGCCUCCCUGCCCGCGCUGCGGGGUCCGCCCGGUGCGGUGAGCAGGUGCUGCCGUCGCUGCCGUGCGCUCAGGGCUGCAGGCAGUGCCCGCGGGCCCGCUUUGUCACGGAGCUCUGCGGAAUGCUGCUCGGAAGUGGAGUCCUGGGAAGGCAUGAAAACCGGUUUGUAGUCGCCUCAGCGUGUGGGGAUGACAGCAGCAUGGAAUCAUUAAGGUUGGAAAGACCACUACAGUCAUCUAGUCCAACCGUCAGCCCAUCCCCACCAUCCCGCUAACCCAUGUCCCUCAGUGCCACAUCUCCAUGUUUCUUGAGCACCUGCAGGGGCAGUGACUCCGUCACCUCCCUGGGCAGCCUGUGCCAGCGCCUCACCACUCUUGCUGAGAAGAAAUUGUUCCUAAUAUCCAACCUGAACCUCCCCUGGUGCGAUUUGUGGCUAUUUUCUCUCACCCUAUCACUGUUACCUGGGAGCAGAGACCAACUCCCACCUCGUCACAACCUCCUUUCUGGCAGUGUAGAGAACAAUAAGGUCUUUCCUGAGCCUCCUCUUCUCCAGACCAUCGCAGUUCCCUCAGCCGCUCCCCAUCAGACGUGUGUUCCAUAUCCUUCACAGCUUUGUUGCACUUCUCUGGACACGCUCCAUGGCCUCGAUGUCCCUCUUGUAGUGAGGGGCCCACAGCUGAGCACAGAAAUUUCUGUCAGCCCUGGGUUUGUGCACAAAAUGAAUCAAUGGCCCAAAGGUCCAAGCUCAGGACCACUCUGCUGUUUGGAAAUUGCUUUUACUGGACACUCGCCAUUAUUUCAGCUGCCCUGAAAUGUACUUCAAAGAGACUUGGUGAGAAAAAUAGUCAAAAAUCAAGUUUGUCUCAGCAAGGAGAUAAUGAAUGUAUCUUGAUGACGAUGUGGCUUCAGCAAGUAACAAGAAGAAAAUGUAGCAAUCUCUGUGGUGCUUUUUUUCAUUCAAGCUAUGACCUCAAAGCCAUUUUUAAUUGGAUGCAUUUCCAAAUGAAGCCACUGCUCCCUGUAGAAGCAUUUUUCCAGUUGCACCUGGUUCACAAAUUGGACAUUAUGAACUUGGCAAACCCGUACAGUGAGUGAUCUGUGUUUAGGGGUGAUACCUCUGCUCUACAGCAGGUGAAAGACACCUCUACCAACAGAGUAUAGGACACUGUUCAGCAGUGUCUUGUGGCUUGCUUUCUCUCUGUGGGAAAAGCCAGUAUGGAGCACUGAUGAACAAAAUGAAGUUCACGGCUAUUUAGCACUGCCCAGCAUGAGAGAUAUCUCCAUAACCACACUAAGUCCUGAAGACAGGCCAUGAGCACACCCUACACUGCAGAAGGCUGCUCCUUCAGCAGGCACUGGGAACGCUGCAGCUUUCUUCUGGUGGCCAGGAGCCCUGGUUUCAGCCAAAGCACAGUGCCAACAUCACAUCAAUGCUGUGGUUGCUGCUGAGCAAUGGGAGCUUCCUGGGGCCCUUUAUGCGUGUCAGCAGGAGGUGGACAGAGCCCAGACAGGUGACCUAAAUUAGGCUGAGGGUUAUUCCAUACCUAUGUGACUGUAGAUAGCUGGCUUAGGGCUGACUGCUGCAAGAUCAAUGGGAUGGAAUGGUCUUAUGUUGUUUGUGGGCUGUUAAAUUAUUAGUUGGGCAUUGGUCAGUGAGUAAUUGCACUGUGGAAAUUACAUAUGUAUAGUUGUCAUCACAUUUUUUAUUAUUCUAUUUCCUUUUAUCAAUCUUAGCUUUCCUUUUAUCAAUCAAUAGCUUUCAUCUUAGCCUACUGGCAUAUCUCAACCAUACCUGUCCCUACAAAGUACUGCCAUGGUGCCAUGUAGCCACAUACAUUGCUGUCGCAAAGAAUCAUGUGCAGCAGGAGGGCUGACACCUGUAUGUUAUGGACAGGUGCUUCUCUUGGUCAUUCUAAAAGGAGCUUUAGCUAGAAAUGCCAAACUGGCUCAUUUACAAGUCUAGCUGCUCAAAGCCCUCUAACAGUGAGCUCUCCUGUUUGUGAUCAGGUUGAGAUAUGCCUGAACUUUGAGGAAACCAGGAACUGUUGACACUUGGUCCAACUAUCCACUUGGUGUCUAUGUUCUGUGAGCAUGUAAUAUUCCAUUUACUGGAGUCUUCAGGACUGAAUGGAUUGUUAUCUCUGAGGUUUUCUCCCAGCCAGACAAGGCUGUCUGUUAAUCCAGGAUUUAUCAGCAGCACUGUCUUUCACCAUGUAGUCAAGGACUACUCAGGCUUGCUAGAGCAUCCCAUUCUCCCAGACAUCAUUAGAGUGAAAGGAGAUUCCUCCUCUGGGGACAUCCUCAGGAGCCAGUCUUUGAUGUUUGUAGGCAGAACUGGCAUUGUUUGAAUAAGAGGCUCCUAAUUAGUGGCACUCUAAAGAACUACUCUAAUUUUAUAUUUUCAAAACACCCUAAAAUGUGUCUAGGAAGGCAGCUUGAGGUUUGGUGUAUCUCAAAGAAUGGCAGUGAGCUUUGCAGUUCAAGUUGAUGUCUUCUCUUUUCCUUCCUGUUCCAAGGAACUUGCCUUGACUUCAAAUUGCUUUUAAAUCCUUGUAAGGGGAACAGCUGUCCCAGAAUGUGUUACACUCCAGCAGAGUGAACAGUUAGGAUCAGUUCACACCUCUCUGAUGAGUUUUAUUCGUUUGUACUAAUUUUCAUGUGUCAUUCAGCAGUGAGCAUCAUCUUGACAUGAAAGAAAAUAUAAAACUUCACAAAUCUUUUUGUAUUGAAAAAGGGCUGGGGACAACACUACCCUGACAACUGCCAAGAAAAUUAAAUGAGGACUCCUGUUAUCUCCUUUCCUCCUUGCCAGUAGGUGCCCUCUUCUUAACACUGCUUACCAGCUUUGUGUGCCAAUCUGUUGCUUCAUCUGCUUUGAGGUGGUGGAAAAACUAGGAGAAUACAGGUAGCAGCUGAAAAAUAGCAUGUGCUGCAUCUCCUACAUGACAGCGCUAGCCAGCAUAUUUUGGAAACAGGUUGGGACUGCUUCUGUCAGAGAUCAGAGACAGAUCAUUUCUGAGUACACAGAGGAUACUGAACAGAAUGCAGAAGGGAGGGCAGACCCUAAAGGCUUAUUUUUACCAGGGUGAAUGAAGGCUUAGUAAGUUUAAUAAACUUGAGCUAAAUAUGUCAAUCCAGCAACCUUCUUUGUGCUAGCUUUCAACCAUUUGCCUGAUAGGGGCAUCUUUCUCCAGUGCUCCCAAAGGUGUUCUCAACACCCAUCUUCUCAUUAACCCUAACCCUAGCUGAGCUCUGCAAUGCAGUACAGGGAGAGGGGCAGAAGUAUGCUUUUCUCUAGAGUGGAAAGUAAACACCCUACUGGAGUACAAUACUUUUAAAAGUCCACUUUGUCGCCUUCUUGGAGGUGAGAGAGACUAUUGUGACCAGCUGCACAGCCAGCCCUGAAAUAAGAGACCCUGAUCUCUUUAUACGUAGUAGCAUUUGUCCUACAUGGGUAAGCUAACAGCUCACAGCAGUGGUAUUCAAUGGAAAGAGUUUGUAUUGUACUGCAGAAGACACAGGACAAAAACUGGCCCUAAACCUAUUGCAGCAUAUAGAAGAAGGCUGACAUGUGGGAGUAUUUCCUGUUUGUUUGUUUGUUUGUUUAAUUUUUGCUUUGUGCUGACUUAAAUCUUUUGUCUUGACUUCUGAAAUUGUAAAUUCAGACGCACUUUGCAUUUGGCAUGAUUAAAAGCUGCUGCUGACAAGCAACUUGAAAAUGCCUUCAUGUUUUAUGUGUAUUUCAAAAUCUCUUCAGCUGUAUGCCUUUGCAGGCUCUUGAUCUAGCAAUAGCUGGUUUGUACAUUUUGAGCAACGGGUUAGUAAGAAUCACGCACUAUUUCUGAUCUUCCCAAAUACCUUUAAGAUGUCACAUAAAUUGAUCUUUUUUUUUUUCUUCUCAGUUUACAAGGCAGCUCAUGCUGCCUUGCUUGGCAAAUCUUAUUUACUGAAUUCUCUUGUUAACAGAUUUCAGUGGUAGUCAUUCAACCAUAGAUUCUUUCAGCAAUAACAAAACAUGCAGCUGUGCAGGUUCAUUCUUUUUUUUUUUCUUCAGAUUAGAAUGAUAUAUCACUACUAUUAUUGUGCCAAAUCUUUUACCAGAACAUAACCUCUUUAUCAGAAAAAUGUUCAGUUCUAUCAACAGCAUAAUAAACUGGUGUCUGUAAUUCAAGGAUCAAGUGUAAAUGCAUUCCUCAUGACUCUCCCUUGACUUGAUUCUCCAGUUCUUCUCAUACCUUUUGCUCUGGCUGCUCUUACUGUUCUUUUCUUGCUGUGGAUUUGAAGCACCUAACUCUUCCUGUGUUUAACACAUAUCCAGAGGGAGCAAGUAUCCACUUACAUACUCAGGUAAAAUUCUUACUUAUGUUUCUUUACUUUUCUGCUCACUCUAGCUCUACUCAACUCAAAACUGGGCCUUCCAGGAAGUAAUAGCUUCGUGUCUUAUUGUGAACACUACUUACAGUGGUCUCUUCAGUGAAUGAACAGUGAAUGAACAGUGAAUGUAGGUAUGCUUUGAAAUCCAUUGGUUUGUAGUCCUUGGUAUUCAGAAACUGCUGGAUACCCUCUCUUAGAAAAUCGGUCCACUUUAUGUGCCUCAGUUUGGACACUGACAGGCAAUCACUUGUCAUUUCACCAAAAAAAAAAGAGUCAAAUCUUUAAAGUCAGUAUAGUGAGUGCUGAAUUUGCCAUUAAAAGCAAACUUUCCUCUCAUUUUGAUGUAAUGAGAUAAAAUGACAGCAUAGCUGUAGUAGACAGGCUAUUUUAGGGAUCUUAUGCUCAUGCAGUGUCCUGUUCACAAAAAAUGGCAUUCUACACUGUCAACACAACCUGUUAAAUGGCUAACAAACAUCUCUCAAACUACUUGACAACAGCAAGUCAUCAUCAAAUGGAGGUGUUGUUCCCCAGGGACUGACAGUAGGCUGUUUCUGUUCAACAUCUCCCACAGUCUUGUAGAAGUAAAUAUAAAUGUUGCUGAUGCAAUAUCCAGGUGUCAUAGAACCCAGUUAGAAUGGUGGUAUCAGUGAGCUCUGCUAAGCACAAAGCGGCCUGGAUAACUUGUCCAUUUAAAUGAAAUCUUUCUUCACACACCUACAUUUUAAGUGAUUGACUUCAGAACAAAGAGCGCAAGAUGUUUCUACAGAGUGGGAGGAUUUUAUCUUGGAAAGCAGUGCUUCUGAGAGAGUUGAGGGAUCAAAAUGGAGAAACAGCUCAACUUCUCAACUUGAACUCCCAAUAUAAAUCUGUAGCAAAAUGGGCUAAUGAGAUUCUUGGGUGUUUCAGGAGGCAAAAAGUAAAUGGGAAAGGGGGAUUUGCACUUUGUUUGGCACUUUUGAGACCAGGACCAGUGUACAGCCUCUAAUUUUGGUGUUGGUGUGUUUAAAAGAAUAUUGAAAAAUAAGAACUGUGCAGGAAAGAUACAGGAAUACCCAUAAGCUGAAGAAAAUGCCUUACGGUGAAACGACGGGGAAAGCUCAGCAUUUUUAUCAAAAGGAAGAUUGAAAUUUGACCAAAUUAUAAAUGCUUCCAGAAGGGAAAAACACAAGGUAAAGAAGAUUUUUCAAAGUAACCAAGGAAUACAACAAGAAAACAGUGGCUGGAAAUUGAAGUAUAGCCUUCCAACCAUGGUCAAUGAUUAAUAUAUAUUUAACAGCAAAGAUUAAACAGUUGUAAUCCAAGGUUGAAGAGAGGUAGUACAUUUCCUGCCCCUUGACGUCAGCUCUGUAUUCCUGCUUGGAUAACAGCGUUUAUCAAAAAAAUUGUCAUUAUGCAUAGUAAAAGAGGCUUAUACCAAAUGAUCUGAAUGAUAAAGUCUAUUUUGAAUAGUCUAGAUAGUUUAUUAUGAAUAUGAAUACAGUCUAGAUAGUCUGGUAGUUCCUUCCAGCCCCUUUAAUGUAAAGAAUAGAAUAGGUCUUGUUUAUCAGAAGUGGCUCAACAUCUCCUCUUGGAACUAAAACUCUUUAAUGUCUCUAAAUUAAUACUCAAAGUAACCAAUUAUUUUGAGAAGAUUAUGGCUGUGGUCUUAAAAAUUCAGUGUAACAAACUUUUCCACUAUUAAUGCAAAUAAAAAUGGUGCAGUAACUGAAAUAAGGUAUGACACAGAAACUGUCAUACCAUGCAGCAAAUUAUUGAUAUCUCCGAGAUGAAAUGAAACACAAAUAUCCUAAAAUAGUAUGGUAUUUCUUAGCUUUCAUGAAAUAUGAACCGAUAAUGGGAAAUUUAUGGUAAAAAUAAAUAUGCUUUUAAAAAUUUUCAGUCGCUAUUGUGGUUGCUUGAGUAUUAUUUAAAUGUAAAAGAGCUGCAAUGAAUAGAUAGCUUUGCUUUUUACUUCCCGUGAGGUACCUGGAGAAUCUGAUGAUUUGUGAAAAAGGGGAACCUCCUUGCUACAAAACCUCUUCUCCUUUUACUUGUCCUGGGCUUAGCUCUGAAAUCUUCAAAUUAUCUGCUGUGCAGAGAAAACAGGGUUCAAAGGAGUAGAAAUGGCUGUUGGAUGGGCAAAAAAAACCAAAACCUCACAAUUCCUUUCCUUGUAUUGCUCAUUACCUGCCAACUUUCCUCCCACCAAAUAUCUAUUAUAAGUAUUAUUACACAUUUCUUGGGACUUAACUUCCAAAAGGAGCGACUUUAAGCUGCAGAGUCUGUGAUUCUAUAUCCUCUCCCAUGGAAGAGGCAUUAAAUGCAUUUGUUUUGCUUUGCUUUUCUGAUGGAUUUAAUGGCUUUUUUUUUCUUUUUUUUUUUUUUUUUCUCAGAAAAUACUGUUUACUGUUUGCAGAAAGAUUAAAGCGUCUACAUAACUAUUGGUUCAGUAAGACACAUAAGAACCAGCUGAAAUGUUUUCCUGUGUUUGAACCUUAAUCUAGUAGUAGUAUUCCUGCAAACAUUCAUCCUGUGAAAACUAAGAAUAGUAUUAUUCUGACCCUAAUUGAUGAUACGUUUCUUUCUACCUUUGGGUGUCUCUGCAGAUCUACAGCCAACUUGAAUUGAGUGGACACACCAGGCUGUGUGACUGGCAGCUUUGUGCAUUAGUGGGCAUCAGACCUGAGUUCAGCUAUUGCCGAGUCUGUGAGGGAAGGUGUGUGGCUGGAAUUGGAAACACUGGAUUUGAGAGAAGAACCUUAAUUCAAACCAGCAGGCUUUAAAGGACAAAUGUGGACAGUUCAGAGCUGUGUGCUAGAGAGCCAAGUCUUCAGUUUGUCUCAGAAUGGUUUGUUUAUAAGAACUGGCAAAUGUGCUUUUGAUUAAAGACAAACAUCCAAAUGCACUGACUUCUACAGAUUCUGGAACAGAAGGACUCUCACUCUCAUUUAUGCGUGCACACAUAAAUAUAUGUCUAUAUCUGAUAUUACUGUUUUUAUUUUGGUAGAACCUAGAGACCCCAUCACAUUAAUCAUUCUACAGAUGCAAUGUAAGUAUCUUAACAUAGUUGGCUUUCGGUAAGGUAAGACUUGCUAGUUAGUGUGGGUUUAUGGAUCUUAUUAUUCCAUCUUAAGGAUGAGAUUAUUUUUUAUAUUUUUAUCUUGAAAGAGAAAUAUUUACAUUUUUAAGUAAAAUCUGUAACUGUACCACCCUUUCAAUAUUCCAACUUUAGCCCCAAGAGUAGAAGACAGUGCCAGACAUGCAUUCCCUUGUGUUUUUUAUCGUUGAUUUUGGUAUGCUCUAUUUUUAUUCAAUUCUAUGGGAAAUGCAUACACUUUGUGCAGUUGCCAGAAUGCGAUUCCCCAAUGCCCUCUCUUUAUUUCCAAGUGUUCUUUUUUCAGAUUCAAGUCCUCUUGCGACAGCACUUUCUCUUGUUUGAUCAAGUAAUCCUUGCUCAUACUGAACCCAUUUGCUGAGGACAACACUUAUGUACGCGGAGCUGAAAGGGCAGACAUCUGAGUUAAGGAAAGUCUCCCACCCUGACAGUAAUGGUUGGUUUUACUUCCUUUUUCAGGGUCUGCCAUUAUUUGUGCUCACUGCACCUAAGGGCAGUAUGCGCACAGCUCUGUCGGCAACCAACAGGGCAGAAUCCUCGCUUUGUUCAAAUUCAGCUGAGUGUAGCAGAGCCAGGCUGUUGUUGGGGUGAUGGUCACGUUCUGUUGAAAUCCCCCUCUCCCAGCCUAUGUUGCAGCACUGUCUGGAGGCUGCCCAAGUUUUGGCAGAUUAAUCUGUAGGCACCAUCCAUGUUCUGGGGCUAGUCAGAACACGUCAGGCUUCAGACUGAUUUACACGGUUGCAGUUGCAUAAGGAGCUAUAGAGAAGCUAGAGCUGAUAAUGUGUUUGUAGAACAAGAGAGCAGAUUCAGCUGUGUAACCCCAAAAGGGCAAUGUACUGAAUUAAGGACAUAGUCCUGAGUCAAUGUAUCCACUCACCUUUUCAUGGUGCUUUUCAGGUCAGCAUCGCUUUCUGCCCUCAAAUCACAUCCAUUUGAUGACUUUUUCCUCCUUUACAUUAUGGGUUUAUUUGUGCAUUAAAAUCAGUCUGGCAGUGCCCUUACAGCCAUAAAAUCCACGCUGCUAUAUCAUUACCAUAAAACCUAGAGAAGGUCUCUUGUGUUUGAAAAGAGUUGCAGUCCCAACUCAGUCCUUUACAAAGUGCCCUAGGCAUGUACUGAUGGCAAAGAAAUAGGGCACCACUGGAGAUGACAUCUCCAAUGUCCACCUGCACUGUGCCUUGUAAAAGUACUGACUCACUUGCACCCUCACACCCUGCAUAAAUGUCCUUCUCUUUUCUCUCAGAAUUACCCAGCAGAGCCUUCAAGCAAAUAGGAAAAGGAAGAAAUGUGGUCUCAAGGACAGAUAGGUAGGUUGGUAGUCUUUCGUAUUUCUUCGUCCUGCCUUGAGUUAUACCUCAUAGCUCAGGUGUGUGCUUGUUCCCAGAGGUUUGAUCUACAUGGCUGCUUGAAGAGAGGGUUAUACACACUUCCCCAUAACACAUAUAGCAAGGAUCUAGGUUCAGGGUGCACCCCUUGCCCUGUGGAUUUCUCCAUCUGCUGUCUAGAUAAUGUAAGAGCAUCUUUGUCCAUUGGGGACUUGGACCAGAAACAUCUGGGUUUAGCAGGAAGAGAAACUCAUGAAGAAAGGAGAAGAAAUAUUUUGAAGCCUGGCAGCAGCGUGGAGAUGGAUCUCCAUGAACUGAAGCAGAAGUGGAGACUGAAACUGGCAAUUCUGAGAGGAGUCUUCCAGGCCAGGACCUUCCACAGAGUUUAUGGUGCCAGAAGUACCUGUCCCUGAAAGCCAAUUUUUCCCACCAAGGAAAGGUAUGGUCCUGUCCUUCCAGGUCAGCCUCCAAAAUAGAUGUUUUCAGAAAAGGUCUAUCAGGUCUUUUGGCUGAGGGAAACCUACAUCAGCGUUUCACUGCAGAGGGCUUCCUUUCUCCCAGAAGAACAAAAAGAAAGAAAAAACAAUGUAUCCAAGAGCCUCAAGGGCCUGUAGGCUCAUCCCUGGUAACAUCUCUGGCCUGUCAGAUAUUUCUAAGCUGUGGGCUCUGAAUGCCUCAAAUGUUGGUAUCCAUGAAAGCCCUGGCUUUCAGAAUGAGAUAAGACUUUUCUCACAGGAUUUACAGACCACAGUGAGCAACCUUCUAAUGCAUCCUAGAACCUCUGAGUGGGAAAUGGGUCUUGGCAGACAGCACAGCUUCCAAAGUCCUUGUGACUUCUGAAAACCAUGUCACCUGCUCCAGCUAUGUGCAGUUUUCUGGGAGAUCCAAAUCUUUCCUUGUAGCACCACUCUGAAGGGUCCUAGGAGAAGUCACUGGGGUGGAAACAAUCACAGAGACUGCAAAACAUAGCCUGGUUUCCUGAAUAGGAAGAAGAUGAUGAAGUAAGUAGAUAUCUUGUUUUACCACCAUUCGUUUGCCAGAUAGUCCUGUGGGAGCUGGCAGAAAAGUCCAACUAGUCUCAUCCUUAUUAUAGAAGGGGGAUAAUGACUGCUGAGAGGACAGAAGGAUUCUCAGUGUGUGAUCGGUGCCCAUACUGCUGCCUUGGCCAGCUUACAGUAUGAUACUCACCAGGCUGAGACUUUUUUCCUUAAUCCAAAAAGUGCUAGCCUAGUUCUGUUGGGAACAUGGGAAUCAGCAUUGCAUGGCUUGAGGUAUGGAAGGAACUGGGAUCACACUGUUCUCCUCACCUGUCCUAGGUCCCAGUCAGACACAUCUGUGGAUCUGGUUUGUGCAACCGAAGGGAGACUGCUUUCUGUGAGUCUCUACUUCUUUCCCCUCUCUCUUAUCCUUCCAAGAUGAAGAGGAAUAGCUAUUAUCUUAAAAUAUCUAUUACUUAGUAAAGAUUAAACAUUAUUUCAUGUUUAAACAUGAGAAGUAUUUAAUAUUUUAAGAUUUAAAACAAAUUAACAUUUACAAAUUAUUCUGUUAUAUAAGCAAAUCCUUGUUUAGAAGGAUAAUGUUUUGAAAAAAGCUUCUACAAAAAAAAACUUGACGUAUUUUAAUUGAUGGCUUUCAUUUUCUAUUUUGUGUCUCAACCAUUGGCAUACCUCAGUUUAGAUGUCAACAUUUUUAUGCCUGGAAGCUGGGGAAUAAAAAUAGUUACACUCUAAAAAGAGGCAGUUCUGAGGGUGAGAGGUCCUGAUCUUGCAAGCUCUUGCUCAAAUGGAAACUCAAUGGGACUACUAAGGGUGAGGAGGAAUUACUCACCCAGCAGACAUUACAAAAUGAGGCUGAGCUCCUCUACUAAAAUGGUAAUAGCUUAAACAUGGAAAAUCUUAUUCAUUCUGCUGAAAUGGGAGGGUGUAAAUAUCUGAGUUUUUUGAAGAAGUGGCCACAGCUGAAAGGCAGCAGAUAUCUGUUUUGAAAGCAGAUGAAAACCUCCUGCUAGGUGGUUACGCUGCAGUGUUGUCUUAACGUUCAUUGUGUGGUUUGAUUAUUUUGUUUUUCUUGAGUUUUUAUAUUUAAUAUAGAUGAGCUACAGUGAUUUCAGGAUGGUUUGGAAGCCAAGUAUGUAUUCGUGUGAAUAUUAACAAUGCCUUGGGCUACAAAGAAAGCUUGAAAACUUUGUAGUAACUUAAAUAAAAAUCAGUGCAUGUUUGGAAUUACUUAAUUACGUGCCCUUAAAAACAGUUUUCUUGGUACAAUUAAUUGGAUGACCUUACUCUCGAAAAAAUGUGCUACAUGACAGAAAUGUACUAUAUGGCAAAAAUAUCUUUAUUUCCAUCACAAAGAAGUCCUGACACGGGACAGAAAACCUAAUUUUAUUCCAAGCAAUCCAGCUGGUACAUAUGAAAUUCAGAAAGAAUGAACACAUCACAACACCCCACACCGACUGUCUGACUCUCGAGAUAAGGAAUUGGCCACCGGGAUAUCAGCUGUUCACAUAGAGCAUCUGAGUUGCCUCCUCCCAGACACCACUCCUAUGAGAACGAUCACCAUGCAGAGAUAUACAGUGAAACUCACCCUCUGCUGAAUGCUUGCUUCAAUCUUGGAUAGCUCCUCUUCGUGUCCUGGAGCACAUGCAGGCCGGAGCCUUGGAGACACAUUCCUCACCAACCACCAUCCUUAUGAUCAGGCUGGA